rnacentral:rRNA from 1 species
GACGAAGGUGGCGAGCGUUGUUCGGAAUCACUGGGCAUAAAGCGCACGUAGGCGGCUAGGUAAGUCGGAUGUGAAAUACCUCGGCUCAACCGAGGAACUGCGUCCGAUACUGCCUGGCUUGAGGUCCGGAGGGGAGAGUGGAAUUCCCGGUGGAGCGGUGAAAUGCGUAGAGAUCGGGAAGAACGCCGGCGGCGAAAGCGACUCUCUGGUCGGAAUCUGACGCUGAGGUGCGAAAGCUAGGGGAGCAAACAGGG